rnacentral:tRNA from 2 species
GCGCCCGUAGCUCAGUUGGAUAGAGCGUCGGCCUCCGAAGCCGAAGGUCGCAGGUUCGAAUCCUGCCGGGCGCGCCA